rnacentral:rRNA from 1 species
UGCGUAGGUGGCGCCGUAAGUCGGGUGUGAAAUUUCGGAGCUUAACUCCGAAACUGCAUUCGAUACUGCGGUGCUUGAGGACUGGAGAGGAGACUGGAAUUCAUGGUGUAGCAGUGAAAUGCGUAGAGAUCAUGAGGAAGACCAGUGGCGAAGGCGGGUCUCUGGACAGUUCCUGACACUGAGGCACCGAAGGGCCCAGGGGAAGGCAAACG